GGAGCUCUGGAUCCAGCUUCUCCCCAUCCCUGUGAUGGGGAGAUUGGUAGCCCUAGCCACUAAGAGAGACUGAGCUGGGAGCUGAGUGUGGAUGAGAGUUCAGAAAGCGAGACAUCUUAGUGUCAAAAGGGAUAGAAGCUGAGAUAGCGGGACCACCCUCUCCCAGAGCCCUGUGCACCGAGGAGUGGGCGUCUGAUGGCCUGGAGGCUGGGGUCCACACAAGCAAGACCUGUGCUCUCACAGCCUGCUGUGGGCCAAGGGGGUACCUAGGAGGACAGGGGAAGGGGUCAACAGGGAGUGGGGAGGAAAGGGGCUACAGCCCGCAGCUGAGUGAACUAGCAGCAGCCUCAUCUGGUGAAGAAGUGAGUCUUCCACCCCAAAAGGUAGGGCACAGAAAUGUGGGAGAGGCCAAGGUCCCCCGCCCUCACUGUCCCAGCUCCUCUGCCUCAGCUCCCGCCUCUGACCCUCAAGAAAAUUUCACUCAGAUGAAAGGACCCCAGCUCCCUUCCUCUUUCCUUGGGUCUGAAUCUACCUCUGCCUUCUAUGCCAACCUGGAUGCCUCUUUGCCAGCCCCACCUCCUCCCAUCACAUCUCUCCCAGAACUGUUCCUGUGCCCCAGGCUGCCCUACCCCGCUGACCAGAGAUGCUCUGCCUCGCACACAACGAGAGAAAGGCUGAGGCUGGGCAGAAAGGCAGAGGGACCCGAAAAUAUAAAUCAAUAUGUGACUUUAAUAUAUGUGCUCUCGGUGUCUGUGUGUGCUGGGGGAUUAUUAGUAACCUUGAUUCCAGCUCAGUGUCCAUGCGAAGCGGGGAGAUGUGCGGCCCCCAGGGAGGAGAAGAGAAAUUAGGAAGCCAAAUUCUUCUCCUGAUUGACACCUGGGUAAACAUUACCCUGGCAGAAAGGGAAGAAAAAAAGAUCAAUGCUGGGUAUUUUUAUCACGUUCCAGGGACAGACGGGGGGAAAUUAAAGAAACAGUCCCCUAGCAUCACUGAAUAUGCCCAUCUUCAAGGAGUAGCUAGAUAA
rnacentral:lncRNA from 1 species